rnacentral:rRNA from 1 species
AUGUAUGUAACCGAUGAUCAUGAUCUGGACAAUUUGCAUCCGCCUUUCGCUAGCGCUUCGGAAUGCAGCAGCAGCAUUGUUGCACUUUUUGCGGUGAAAACUGAGAAAAAAGCCUUGGCUGGUGGCUUUCUUGGGGUUUGGAACCUGGGGAAUGGGAGGCGUGUUGCGGUGCUGUACACCUUUGGGCCAGUUGACUCUGAAAGAUGCGACAAUGACACAGGAGGGGCUGCGUCCAUCAGUGUCAGCACAUUGUCUUUUUACCCGUGUCCUGCCGCGCUGUGCAUGCACAGCGAAACGGCCACACGCAAUGGCAGAUGGGCGCAGAAGACUGGGGCAACACGCGGGUAG